rnacentral:lncRNA from 1 species
GGUUAUCUUAGGAUAUUAUUAAGAUAGGAUGAAAUUCUUUUUUAAAUCUCAUUUAUCAGCUUUAAAGAAGUCCCUAUGACCAUUGAGAGAAUUUGCUUUAGUUUUCUUUAUUUACUCAUGGGGAUUUAAGCAUGUUUGAAAUGAUCUAACCCAUUACACUGUUUUCCUUGUUUAUGCUCAAUGGGAACUUCUUCAAGUUAAUUCUGAUUUCUUUUGAUAUAAUCCUAAUCAUCUUUUAUAAUUGUUUUUAGGGGGCAGGGCUUCUGGUAUGAUAUAUUUUAGGUUCAUCUGUAAUUUCCUGCCCCAAACCUUGAAUCAGCCAUUUCUUUAAGGAGACUGAGUCAGAUAGCCAGCCUCUGUCUAGCAGUACCAAAAUGUCAAACUUCCAGAAAGAAAGCAAGUGUUCAGGAUUGACUCUAUUGUUUUACAUAAAUCCCAUUCUUUCACAGAUACCAGCCAGCCAAGGUCACUUUAUAUGCAGAUUUUUUAAAAGGAUGUAGUCUCAGGCCUGCUACUUUACCUUUUAUAUGUAUGGAUACCUAUUAGAUAUCUUAUGGCAAGGAAUAAGUAGAAAAUUGGAUAAGGAGUCAGGAAUUCAAAGGAGAGGUUGUGGACUAUUAUCCUGUAGAAGCCAUUUAAAGCCCUGAGACUGAAUGUAGGUAGUGAGUUCAGAGAUUCAAGUACUGGGACCUUGUACAAGAAAUUGAAGAGCUGAGAAGCAGCUAGCAAAGGAGCAGCUUGCAAAAGCUAGAAAGAGCAAUUGGUAAGAGUUUGAGAUGGGUCAAGAUUCAAGAGGACAUGAUAUCCUUAAAGUCUAAUGAAAAGAAGGAGUCAGUGGCCGGGCACAGUGGUACAUGCCUGUAAUCCCAGCGACUCAGGAGGCUGAGGCAGGAGGAUCCGGAGUUCAAAGC